AAGUGUUCUGAAGUUUUUGCCUUGCAGUCAUUUCAACAAGAACCAGCUUUCAGGCGAAAUUCCUGAAAAGCUUUUUAGCUCGGACAUGUCUCUAAUACAUGUACUGUUUGAUGGGAAUCAAUUGAAAGGGAACAUUCCAUCUACCAUAGCAGAGGUUCGGACACUAGAGGUUCUUCGACUUGAUCGAAAUGGCCUGACAGGAAAUGUCACGUCAAACCUCAACCAUCUCGCAAAUAUCACUGAAUUGUGGGUAUACCUUUUCAAUC